UACGGAGGGUGCAAGCGUUAUCCGGAAUCACUGGGUUUAAAGGGUGCGUAGGUGGGCAGGUAAGUCAGUGGUGAAAUCUCCGGGCUUAACUCGGAAACUGCCAUUGAUACUAUCUGUCUUGAAUACCGUGGAGGUCAGCGGAAUAUGUCAUGUAGCGGUGAAAUGCUUAGAUAUGACAUAGAACACCAAUUGCGAAGGCAGCUGGCUACACGAAUAUUGACACUGAUGCACGAAAGCGUGGGGAUCAAACAGG
rnacentral:rRNA from 1 species